rnacentral:rRNA from 1 species
CCUACGGGAGGCAGCAGUGGGGAAUAUUGGGCAAUGGAGGCAACUCUGACCCAGCAAUGCCGCGUGAGUGAUGAAGGUAAUAUUAUUGUAAAGCUCUUUUCUUUGGAACGAAUAAAUGACGGUACCAAAGGAAUAAGCCCCGGCUAACAACGUGCCCGCAGCCGCGGUAAUACGUAGGGGGCAAGCGUUGUGCGGAAUGACUGUGCGUAAAGGGGGUGAUGGGGGUUUGAUAAGUUAGAUGUGUAAUACCCAGGGAUUAACUCGGGUGCUGCAUCUGAAACUGUUAGUCUUGAGUACUGGAGAGGAUAGUGGAAUGCCUGGUGUAGCGGUGAAAUGCGUAGAUAUUAGGAGGAACAUCGGUUGCGAAGGCGACUAUCUGGACAGCAACUGACACUGAGGCACGAAAGCGUGGGGAGCAAACAGGAUUAGAUACCCUAGUAGUC